GGAACGUGUUCCUUUUUGUAUGUACCAUAUGAAUAAGCAUCGGCUAACUCCGUGCCAGCAGCCGCGGUAAUACGGAGGAUGCGAGCGUUAUCCGGAUUUAUUGGGUUUAAAGGGUGCGUAGGUGGUUAAUUAAGUCAGCGGUGAAAGUUUGUGGCUCAACCAUAAAAUUGCCGUUGAAACUGGUUGACUUGAGUAUAUUUGAGGUAGGCGGAAUGCGUGGUGUAGCGGUGAAAUGCAUAGAUAUCACGCAGAACUCCGAUUGCGAAGGCAGCUUACUAAACUAUAACUGACACUGAAGCACGAAAGCGUGGGGAUCAAACAGGAUUAGAUACCCUGGUAGUCCACGCAGUAAAAGAUGAUUACUAGCUGUUUGCGAUACACAGUAA
rnacentral:rRNA from 1 species